rnacentral:rRNA from 1 species
UACGGGGGGAGCAAGCGUUGUUCGGAUUUACUGGGCGUAAAGGGCGCGUAGGCGGCGCAACAAGUCACUUGUGAAAUCUCCGGGCUUAACCCGGAGCGGCCAAGUGAUACUGUCGUGCUAGAGUGCGGAAGGGGCUACUGGAAUUCUCGGUGUAGCGGUGAAAUGCGUAGAUAUCGAGAGGAACACCUGCGGCGAAGGCGGGUAGCUGGGCAUUUCCUGACGCUGAGGCGCGAAAGCGUGGGGAGCAAACGGG